GCUUGCUAUGCUUAUACAUGUACUAAAUUGGAAUGAUAUAGAAAAGGUUAGCAUGGCUCCUGCAUAAGCAUGACACUCAAAUUCAUGAAGCAUUCCAUAUUUUG